UACAAAUAGCCUAGGCUACUCCAGUAUUUGAAUAAAUGCCCACUGCAGUUUUACCCUUGUCUCACCUAUAUAUGUCUAUGAAUUGCAGUAGUGAUAAAAAAUGAAAAAGGAAAUGAAGGUGUCCUGAUGUGUUGUUUAGGGAUGAUGGUCCUGCAAUGUUUCUAUACGUAUCUUGAUGUCUUUUUUUUGUUUUCAUUUCAUCAUGUUUUCACAGAUCCUUGCUCCUGAUAUCCUGAUGUGUGGGUUUCAUUAAUGUGGCCUUUAUGACUCCAACAGAACACUCACAGAAAGGAGAGCAGUGUCAUACUACAAGAUAGCCAGCAACCCUAGGUUUGGCUACUCAUUUGUCUACUUCCUGAAGAGGAGCAUGCUAGCCUUGACACCUCAGUCCUUUCUUCCAUUAACAGCUGUGUUAUGGAGCGCAUCCUCACAUCAUGGUCUACUGCAGCAGGUGGAUACAGAAGACAAUUGGUCCAAACCAUCUUGAGGCCUUUUGGACAGAGGAGAGGAUGACCGAGCUGGUUAACCUCUACAUAAAUAGACACAUGUCAAGUGGGUUUAUCGAGGCCCAAAUAUGCUGAGGAAUACAGGCUGCCUGGGUGGCCUAAGGAGUUGCCUUUCACUUCAGUCAGUGACGGAAAAGGUCAAGGACGUAAGGCUUUUACAGCUGAAAAGCUGAUACAGCUUGUGCAGUCCUACAAUGCACAUGUCAAUGAUCAGCUGUUUGUUGAGGCAGCAGCAGCAGGAGCAGCACCAACAACAGAAGCAGCAGCAGCAGCAGGAGCAGCACCACCAGCACUAUAAACGCCAUCAGCAGCAGCGGCAGAUUAUAAAGAAGGAUAACAAUGAAUACAUGAAAUCAGAGUGGGAAGUUGUGCUUUUAUGUUUCAUAUACUGUAUAUAUAUGCACCUUACUUGAGUGUCUCUACAAUUUAAUUAUACUGCAAUGCAAUUAAAAUAAAGGCAUUCAUUUAAUUAAUUUGUCAUUUCAGUUUGUAUUAUUACAUUCAUU